rnacentral:rRNA from 1 species
GAUGAACGCUGGCGGCGUGCCUAAUACAUGCAAGUCGAGCGAACAGACGAGGCGCUUGCUCCUUCCACGUUUGCGGAGGACGGGUGUGUAACACGUAGGUCCCCUACCUAUCAGACUGGGAUAACUUCGGGAAACCGGAUCAAAUCCCGGAUAAUAUUUCGCACCGCAUGGUUCGAUGGUGAAAGUUGGCUUUGCUAUCUCUUAUCGCUGGACAUGGGCCGUAUUAGCUGGUUGGUAAGGUCACGGCUUACCACGGCGACGAUACGUAGCCGACCUGAGAGAGUGAUCGGCGACAUUGGAACUGAGACACGGUCCAUACUCCUGCGAGAGGCAGCAGUAGGGAAUCUGCGGCAAUAGGCGAAAGCCUGACGGAGCAACGCCGCGUGAGUGAUGAAGGUCUUCGGAGCGGAAAACUCGGUUAUUAGUGAAGAACAAACGUGGAAGGAAAUGUACACGUCGUGACGGUACCUAGUCAGAAAGCCACGGCUAACUACGUG